rnacentral:tmRNA from 1 species
GGGGAUGAACGGAAUAGAGGCUCUCAAUGAAAUCAAGAACAUUAACAAGAACUUGCCUGUUAUCCUGUGUUCUGCCUAUGGAGAAUUCAAGCAGGAUUUCUCGAGCUGGGCAUCAGACGGAUAUGUUGUUAAAUCUGCUGACACCAACGAGCUCAAGCAAACAAUUAAGAAUCUUCUGGGAGUCGCCUGACACUUAGACAAAUUUGAUGUGUCCAAAAGGUUUAUUAGAGAACAGGUAUAAUAACGGAUAAUUACAGUACCAAAUCUAUCAUACCAAAACAUUUGAUUCUCCAACACUGUACAAAGUAUAUACUUUUUCGACAAAAUGCUUGCUAUAGAUUUCAUGUUGCCGUAAUAUUAUACGGGUUGGGGGUGUAGCUCAGCGGGAGAGCAUCUCGUUCGCAACGAGGGGGCCGCGGGUUCAAUUCCCGCCACCUCCACCA